rnacentral:rRNA from 1 species
AUGGCUCCUUCUCCACGCCCGAAGCCGGCUUCCGCGUCUUCGUUGACGGCGGCCGCCGCGGCGUCCCCAGCCCCGUCCGCCUCCCUCUUGGCAUUUGCGUCGCCGUCGGCAACGGCUGCUGCUCCGGCCGCGCUGGGUGCGGUGACAUCCCCAGCCCCGACGUCUCCUCGCUCAACUUCCACGUCGCCGUCAACUGCAAAUGCUUCAGCCGUGCUCGGCACACGGGCUCUUCCUGCCAGCGCCAUCGACUCUGUUGUGCGUGCACCGCAGCCGACACUGCCUGUGUCGUGGGCCUCCCUCAACGCCGACAAUGAUGAUGACGACAUCGACGAUGACGACGAGCUCGCCCCACUGACGCCGUUGGCUGCCAGAUGCUCAGGUGGGGUGAGCGAUUCGACUGCUUCUACUCCUGGGGCAACACCGGGGCAGCCAUGGGUGAAGGUGGGGGGCCGCCAUCGCCCCCGGCAGGAGUUGGCACCUGGGCCGCCGCACAGGAAGGAGACUGCGAGCUCCCUCGCCUUCAAGCGAAGAGCCUACGGCCUCUGUUUUCGUUGCUUGGCGCCGGAACAUCUCGUUGCUGAUUGUCACGGCCCUGUUAGAUGUCUGGCGUGUGGCCUCCCAGGACAUCGUGAACGUGGUUGUCCCUCGAGCCAGCCAAUGAAGGAAGGUUCUCGCCUUCGUCCCCGCUCGUCGCCGGCUUCCCCGCACCGUCCGAUGGACCUGCCGGACUGCCAAGCUCCUCGCCACUGCAUCCGCUCGACUCCUAGAUCUCCGCAUCGACGCACCUAG